rnacentral:rRNA from 1 species
UAUCGGAACGUACCCUGGAGGUGGGGGAUAACGUAGCGAAAGUUACGCUAAUACCGCAUACGAUCUAAGGAUGAAAGUGGGGGAUGCGCAAGCACCUCAUGCUCCUGGAGCGGCCGAUAUCUGAUUAGCUAGUUGGUGGGGUAAAGGCCUACCAAGGCAUCGAUCAGUAGCUGGUCUGAGAGGACGACCAGCCACACUGGAACUGAGACACGGUCCAG